rnacentral:lncRNA from 1 species
ACCAAUAGACCCUUUUCAGAUCCUGAUACAUCUUGGUGGCUCCUGGGUGAACACUAUACCUCGCAUUAUGAGCUUCCCUCAUAAUGUCUUCCUUCACACUGCCCCUAUCUGGUACACAAAGUCGACUCCCAUAGCGAAGGAUCCCUUUGCUGUCAAAUCUGAACUCUGCACUAUUGCCUGACUGAACAGUCCUGGCAAUUUUCAUCAACUCAGGGUCCUCAUGCUGUCUCUGAGCUAUCUGCUCCAGAAACACAGGUGUCACUCUCAUCUGUGCUAUCAACGCACCUGUACCAGACAACUCUAGCUGUAAUCCCUCGUCAAAUAGCUUAUAAAGUUCCAUCACAACUGGUCUCCGCUCUGCUGCUAUAUGGGAUAAACUGCCUAGUGACUUCCGGCUGAGGGCGUCUGCUACAACAUUCGCCUUACCCGGAUGAUACUGGAUCUUAC